ACAGCAGCAGAGCAACACAGCAGCAACCACAGACACUGUUACGGGAUCUGCGUUUGGCCAGGACGAAACGAGUGUGGCCAGGACGAAAGGCAGCCAAUGGCUUCGAUUGGGAGCCAGUCAAACAUGGUCCAUCGACGUGAGAUGAACAGCACCGAGAUCCGCAUCCGCCAGCAGAUUCGCAAUCGAGCAGAGCGGGAUGGCAAAAACACAAUAGAUAAGCCAGGACUGUAAAUGCUUUUUUAAAAGUGCCAGCCGGAGCAGAACAUUAAGGAUAUUAUGUUGCUGCCAACAUGAACCAACAUAAGCCAACAGCACACCCCGAAAAGUGAACUGAAAAAGUGUUUUCAUCUACAAAGCACAACUAAAAGCGGAGCCAAAAUAAGAAAAUCAUAAUGAUGAUAAAUUAACAGAUCCCAGUAGUUGUUUAUGUUGUGCGAGUGAGAUAGCGAAAGCGUGGGAGGAGCACCGGAAGUGCUAGCAGCAGCAGCAGCAGCAUUUGCACCGCAGCCACAUUGCAGCAGCAGCAACGGCGAAGUCGAAAUAAGUAAAUAAACAAACGAACCAUCUAGCAUUAUCACAAAACGGCAAGUCUCAUUUUUAACCCGGCUGCCUGGCUUCACUUUUGCCUUCUUCACCCAACUCGUCCUCCAUCCCAACCGAUCCCCAAAAGCUGGCAAGCUGGCGUCGUUCAAGCAGAUGAAUAUCAAUAGCACCAUAAGCAAUUACAACAACAAUAUAAUGUGGAGUAGUACUAUAUCGCCAACAAACUCUAAGAAACUGUUGAUCGGAAGCACACGAAGCGUUGAU
rnacentral:sRNA from 1 species